rnacentral:rRNA from 1 species
CGGCGGCGUGCCUAACACAUGCAAGUCGGAUGUGCCCGCAAGGGUGCAUGGCAGACGGGUGAGUAACGCGUGGGGAACCUACCUCUUUGUGGGGAAUAACGUUCCGAAAGGAAUGGUAAUACCGCAUGAGACCGAUGGCUGGGAUGCUGUCGGUGAAACCCGGGGACCGCAAGGCCUGGGGCAAGGAGAGGGUCCUGCGUCUGAUUAGCUAGUUGGUGAGGUAACGGCCCACCAAGGCAUCGAUCAGUAGCCGGCCUGAGAGGGUGAUCGGCCACACUGGAACUGAGACACGGUCCAGACUCCUACGGGAGGCAGCAGUGGGGAAUUUUGCGCAAUGGGCGAAAGCCUGACGCAGCAACGCCGCGUGGGUGAUGAAGGUCUUCGGAUCGUAAAACCCUGUCGUCAGGGACGAAGGUUGUAUGCCUAACAGGUGUGCAGCUUGACGGUACCUGGAGAGGAAGCCCCGGCUAACUCUGUGCCAGCAGCCGCGGUAAUACAGAGGGGGCAAGCGUUAUUCGGAAUUAUUGGGCGUAAAGGGCGCGUAGGCGGUGUCUUAAGUGAGAUGUGUAAUCCCCGAGCUUAACUUGGGAACUGCAUCUCAGACUGGGGCGCUAGAGUACUGGAGAGGGUGGUAGAAUUCCACGUGUAGCGGUGAAAUGCGUAGAGAUGUGGAGGAAUACCAGUGGCGAAGGCGGCCACCUGGACAGUAACUGACGCUGAGGCGCGAAAGUGUGGGUAGCAAACAGGAUUAGAUACCCUGUAGUC